rnacentral:rRNA from 1 species
UAAGGAAUAUUGGGCAAUGGACGCAAGUCUGACCCAGCCAUGCCGCGUGCAGGAUGACGGCCCCAUGGGUUGUAAACUGCUUUUGUACGGGAAGAACCCCUUCGAUUCUUCGGAGGCUGACGGUACUGUACGAAUAGGCAUCGGCUAACUCCGUGCCAGCAGCCGCGGUAAUACGGAGGAUGCAAGCGUUAUCCGGAUUUAUUGGGUUUAAAGGGUGCGCAGGCGGAAUGGUAAGUCAGUGGUGAAAUCUCCCGGCUCAACCGGGAAACUGCCGUUGAUACUGCCGUUCUAGAGUACAGUUGGGGUGGGCGGAAUGUGUCAUGUAGCGGUGAAAUGCUUAGAUAUGACACAGAACACCGAUCGCGAAGGCAGCCCACCAAGUUGUAACUGACGCUCAUGCACGAAAGCGUGGGGAUCAAACAG